rnacentral:rRNA from 1 species
AUUGAACGCUGGCGGCAUGCCUUACACAUGCAAGUCGAACGGUAACGGGCCUUCGGGUGCCGACGAGUGGCGAACGGGUGAGUAAUAUAUCGGAACGUACCCUUCAGUGGGGGAUAACGUAGCGAAAGUUACGCUAAUACCGCAUAUUCUGUGCGCAGGAAAGCAGGGGACCUUCGGGCCUUGCGCUGAUUGAGCGGCCGAUAUCAGAUUAGCGAGUUGGUGAGGUAAAGGCUCACCAAGGCGACGAUCUGUAGCGGGUCUGAGAGGAUGAUCCGCCACACUGGAACUGAGACACGGUCCAGACUCCUACGGGAGGCAGCAGUGGGGAAUUUUGGACAAUGGGGGCAACCCUGAUCCAGCCAUGCCGCGUGAGUGAAGAAGGCCUUCGGGUUGUAAAGCCCUUUCGGCCGGGAAGAAAUCGUAUGGGCUAAUACCCUGUGCGGAUGACGGUACCGGCAUAAGAAGCACCGGCUAACUACGUGCCAGCCGCCGCCGUAAAAC